AGAUUGAACGCUGGCGGCAUGCUUUACACAUGCAAGUCGAACGGUAACAGGCCGCAAGGUGCUGACGAGUGGCGAACGGGUGAGUAAUGUAUCGGAACGUGCCCAGUCGUGGGGGAUAACGCAGCGAAAGCUGCGCUAAUACCGCAUACGAUCUAUGGAUGAAAGCGGGGGACCGUAAGGCCUCGCGCGAUUGGAGCGGCCGAUAUCAGAUUAGGUAGUUGGUGGGGUAAAGGCUCACCAAGCCAACGAUCUGUAGCUGGUCUGAGAGGACGACCAGCCACACUGGGACUGAGACACGGCCCAGACUCCUACGGGAGGCAGCAGUGGGGAAUUUUGGACAAUGGGCGCAAGCCUGAUCCAGCAAUGCCGCGUGCAGGAAGAAGGCCUUCGG
rnacentral:rRNA from 1 species